GUCUGGGGAGUGGGGGAGGGAAACGGAACUGGAGAGGCGCGGGAGCCAGGUGUGCGGGCUGGGACUGCACGCCUGCCUGCGGGCGGUGAGUGCCGGGAAGGGUGUGUGCUCGUGCAGGCAGGUGGCCUGAGCAGGAUGCUGUCAGAGUGACGCUGGAGGCAGAGGGACCAUCGGGGUGACUGCGACUGCCCAGGAGAGGAGGCCCCGAGCAGGGGUUUCCCAGCCUCCGCACCGUGGACCUUUGGGCCUGGGUCACUGUUGGUGCCAGGCUGUUCUGUCCGUCGUGCGAUGUUUAUUUUGGCAGCGCCCCCAGCCUCGGCCCACUGGAAGCCAGUAGCAGCCCUCAGCUGUGCCCAGCGGAACCGUCUUCAGACGCUGUGAAAUGGCACCUGGAGGGCAACUCGCCCCAGCUGGGAGGGAACCUCAGGCCUCCGUUCUGGCUGAGACUGCGGACAGAGUCCCAGGUCAGCAGGGCUGUGCGCCAGCUGUUUGGCUGCUCACGGCAGCAAAAAGCCUGCGGAGGUUCCAGGUGCCACCGUUCCUGACGGCAGCAGUGCCGAGAGCUCCGACAGUAGGGAGGGAACCAGGCCGGGCCGGACUGCAGGGACGGGCUUCGAUCACAUGACACAGGCUCCGCGCUCCGCCUGCUUCCCUGCCGUCUCCACCAGCGUCACACUUCCGCCAGCACCUCCUCUGUGUUGUCCUAACAGUCUUUGCUUUUUCACAGAGAGUCGCUGAACGAUGCCCCUUUUGGAGAAGAGCCCCCCAGUGCCCUCAGCAAGGCACUGUCUGUGGGUGCUCAGGGCCCACGGCCACGCCCAUCGCUGCAACUCCCCAGCUGUUUUAGUCAACAAAGUGCCGUAGACCGGGUGGCUUGUCAACAGCAGAGGACGAAGUGGGCGUGGGAUGCGUGUGCCUCCUGGUCAAGCCGAGUCAGAGUCCACGUGUGACCCUGACGUGGCCACGUACAGGCCAGGGGAGCUCGGCAGCUCGCCCAGCCUCUCUGAGACCCAACUUCCUCGUCUGCAAAGCGGAGGUGACAUCCCCACCUCAGGGGCUUUUCCGUGGACUAAGUGAGGUGGCACAAGUGGAAGCUUCAGCGCAGCGCCCAGCCCCUGCCGAGCACCCUUGGUUAGUACUGCCACGGUUAC